AUUGAACGCUGGCGGAAUGCUUUACACAUGCAAGUCGAACGGUAGAGGGGGCAACCCCUCGAGAGUGGCGAACGGGUGAGUAAUAUAUCGGAACGUGCCCAGUCGUGGGGGAUAACGUAGCGAAAGUUACGCUAAUACCGCAUACGAUCUAAGGAUGAAAGCGGGGGAUCGCAAGACCUCGCGCGAUUGGAGCGGCCGAUAUCAGAUUAGGUAGUUGGUGGGGUAAAGGCUCACCAAGCCAACGAUCUGUAGCUGGUCUGAGACGACGACCAGCCACACUGGAACUGGGACACGGUCCAGACUCCUACGGGAGGCAGCAGUGGGGAAUGUUGGACAAUUGACGCAAGUCUGAGCCAGCCAUGCCGCGUGCAGGAUGAAGGCCCUCGGGUUGUAAACUGCUUUUGUACGGAACGAAAAGGUCUCUCUUAAUACGGGGGACUCAUGACGGUACCGUAAGAAUAAGCACCGGCUAACUACGUGCCAGCCGCCGCCGUAA
rnacentral:rRNA from 1 species